rnacentral:piRNA from 1 species
UGGGCAUUUCAACGGUCAGUGUUCUAUGCA